rnacentral:rRNA from 1 species
GAUGAACGCUGGCGGCGUGCUUAACACAUGCAAGUCGAACGGAAAGGCCCAAGCUUGCUUGGGUCCUCGAGUGGCGAACGGGUGAGUAACACGUGGGUGAUCUGCCCUGCACUUCGGGAUAAGCCUGGGAAACUGGGUCUAAUACCGGAUAGGACCACAUUUUGGAUGGUGUGGUGGAAAGUUUUUCGGUGUGGGAUGAGCUCGCGGCCUAUCAGCUUGUUGGUGGGGUAAUGGCCUACCAAGGCGUCGACGGGUAGCCGGCCUGAGAGGGUGUACGGCCACAGUGGGAGUGAGAUACGGCCCAGACUCCUACGGGAGGCAGCAGGGGGGAAUAUUGCACAAGGGGCGCAAGCAUGAUGCAGCGACGCAGCGUGGGGGAUGACGGCAUUCGGGUUGUAAACUCAUUUCGCUAGGGACGAAGCGUUAUGUGACGGUACCUGGAGAAGAAGCACCGGCUAACUACGUG